UACGUAGGGUGCGAGCGUUGUCCGGAAUUAUUGGGCGUAAAGAGCUUGUAGGCGGUUUGUCGCGUCUGCCGUGAAAAUCCGGGGCUCAACCCCGGACUUGCGGUGGGUACGGGCAGACUAGAGUGUGGUAGGGGAGACUGGAAUUCCUGGUGUAGCGGUGAAAUGCGCAGAUAUCAGGAGGAACACCGGUGGCGAAGGCGGGUCUCUGGGCCGAUACUGACGCUGAGGCACGAAAGCUAGGGGAGCAAACAGG
rnacentral:rRNA from 1 species